rnacentral:rRNA from 1 species
GACGAACGCUGGCGGCGUGCUUAACACAUGCAAGUCGAGCGGAAAGGCUCCUUCGGGAGUACUCGAGCGGCGAACGGGUGAGUAACACGUGGGUAAUCAACCCCUGACAUCGGGAUACCCCGGGGAAACCCGGAUCAAUACCGAAUAAGGUGCGGAGUCGCUGGACGCCGUACCAAAGGUAGCUUCGGCCUCCGGUCAGGGACGAGCCCGCGGCCCAUUAGCUUGUUGGCGGGGUAAUGGCCCACCAAGGCGACGAUGGGUAGCUGGUCUGAGAGGACGAUCAGCCACACUGGGACUGAGACACGGCCCAGACUCCUACGGGAGGCAGCAGUGGGGAAUAUUGCGCAAUGGGCGAAAGCCUGACGCAGCAACGCCGCGUGCGGGAAGAAGGCUCUCGGGUCGUAAACCGCUUUCAGCAGGGACGAAGCUUCCGGGGUUAAUAGCCUACGGGGUGACGGUACCUGCAUAAGAAGCCCCGGCUAACUACGUGCCAGCCGCCGCCGUAAAAC